rnacentral:rRNA from 1 species
UACCCUAUUAUUAAUAACCUAUAAUAAGAAUUGGAAAAUACGAACUACUGUUUAAACACCAAAGAAUUUGGCGGUGUCUUACUCUAUUAGGGGAACCUGUCCUAUAAUUCGAUAAUCCACGUAUAAAUUACCUAAUUUAGAAAUUCAGUAAGUGUACUGCCGUCUUAAGUAUACCUUUAUGAGAGUAUACUACAAAUUAUAUAUUGAUAUCACGUCAGGUCAAAGUGCUGCCUACAAUUAGGAUGAGAUGGGUUACAAUCUUUAUAUAGAUACGGAAUAAGAUAUGAAUAUAUUUUAUGAAGGUGGACUUAAUAGUAAUUAUACAUAAUAUAAUGAAAAAUAUAAUAAGACAAGU